CAGUGGGGGAUAACGUAGCGGAAGUUACGCUAAUACCGCAUAUUCUGUGAGCAGGAAAGCAGGGGAUCGCAAGACCUUGCGCUGAUUGAGCGGCCGAUAUCAGAUUAGCUUGUUGGUGAGGUAAAAGCUCACCAAGGCGACGAUCUGUAGCGGGUCUGAGAGGAUGAUCCGCCACACUGGAACUGAGACACGGUCCAGACUCCUACGGGAGGCAGCAGUGGGGAAUUUUGGACAAUGGGGGCAACCCUGAUCCAGCCAUGCCGCGUGAGUGAAGAAGGCCUUCGGGUUGUAAAGCUCUUUCAGCCGGGAAGAAAACGCAUGGGUUAAUACCCUGUGUGGAUGACGGUACCGGAAUAAGAAGCACCGGCUAACUACGUGCCAGCAGCCGCGGUAAUACGUAGGGUGCGAGCGUUAAUCGGAAUUACUGGGCGUAAAGCGUGCGCAGGCGGUUUUGUAAGACAGGCGUGAAAUCCCCGGGCUUAACCUGGGAACUGCGUUUGUGACUGCAAAGCUAGAGUACGGCAGAGGGGGGUGGAAUUCCACGUGUAGCAGUUAAAUGCGUAGAGAUGUGGAGGAACACCAAUGGCGAAGGCAGCCCCCUGGGUCGAUACUGACGCUCAUGCACGAAAGCGUGGGUAGCAAACAGGAUUAGAUACCCUGGUAGUCCACGCCCUAAACGAUGUCAACUAGGUGUUGGGAGGGUAAAACCUUUUAGUACCGGAGCUAACGCGUGAAGUUGACCGCCUGGGGAGUACGGCCGCAAGGUUAAAACUCAAAGGAAUUGACGGGGACCCGCACAAGCGGUGGAUGAUGUGGAUUAAUUCGAUGCAACGCGAAAAACCUUACCUACCCUUGACAUGCCAAGAACUUUCCAGAGAUGGAUUGGUGCCCGAAAGGGAACUUGGACACAGGUGCUGCAUGGCUGUCGUCAGCUCGUGUCGUGAGAUGUUGGGUUAAGUCCCGCAACGAGCGCAACCCUUGUCGUUAAUUGCCAUCAUUUAGUUGGGCACUUUAACGAGACUGCCGGUGACAAACCGGAGGAAGGUGGGGAUGACGUCAAGUCCUCAUGGCCCUUAUGGGUAGGGCUUCACACGUCAUACAAUGGUCGGUACAAAGGGUCGCCAAGCCGCGAGGUGGAGCCAAUCCCAGAAAGCCGAUCGCAGUCCGGAUCGCAGUCUGCAACUCGACUGCGUGAAGUCGGGAUCGCUAGUAAUCGUGAAUCAGAAUGUCACGGUGAAUACGUUCCCGGGUCUUGUACACUCCGCCCGUCACACCAUGGGAGCGGGUUCCGCCAGAAGUAGGUAGCCUAACCGCAAGGAGGGCGCUUACCACGGCGGGGUUCGUGACUGGGGUGAAGUCGUAACAAGGUA
rnacentral:rRNA from 1 species